UUUAUUGUGAGAGUGGACAGACAUCCGAGAUUUCAGAGCCCCAUAUUCGAGCCCCGUGGAAUCCCGCGGCCCCCAGCCAGAGCCAGCAUGCAGAACAGGGAGGGCGGAGUUCAGCGGCGGAAAUAAAGCGAGCAGUGGCUGGUGCGAACCGACUCCCGGCUCUAAGCCUUACUUGCGGUGGCCGGACUUGUCUGUGGCUGAAGCCGAGCCCGGGCUGUGACUCUCACGUCUGCACUGGAGGUGCGGAAACCUGGACUGGGGUUCGCCAGCCACAGACUGGCUACUCUGGUUCUUCUCUCCUCUUCCUUCUUCUAUUCUAACCAAACAAAACCAAACUCGAUGCUUGUGCCAGGCCUUGGCCAGUUCCGACGGUGAUGGAAACAUUUCUGGAUUUUAGCGUCUAAGGGAGCACUCAAGGGCUGUAAGGUUUGAUAUCACUGUCCCAACACUGCAGAGACCUUGAAGGUUCAUUGUGGGAUCUGUAGAACCCAUGGUUUGCGGUGACACUCAGAGGGGAUCUUUGGGAGAUUUAUAGAGCCGGUUUUUAGAGCUUUGUGGGUUCAGAGGCUGGCUGCAGAGUUUAUGAAAAGGGGCAGUGGGCUGGGGACACUGCUGGGGUUAUGGCUGUAGGGAGGUUCAUGUGUACUUGUUCCUUGGCAUGUGUCUGACUCUGUGUUGCUGCUGCAGUCCAGUGGGCAGGGGCACGGUUGUUUGGGACUGGGCUGCCCGAUAUCUGGCAUGGCCGGUGGUCCUGUUGUCGUUUAUGUGAUUGAUAGCAGGGACCUGAUCGCCGAGGUUGGCACAGGUUGGCAGGGAGAUGAGGAUGCAUUGUGGUUGUCUCCUCCUCCUCUCCUUCUUCCUCUUCCCCUUCCUCUUCUCCUUCCUGUUCUUGUUCUCCCUCAUCUUCCUCUUCCUUCUUCUCCCUCUUCUUCCUCUUCACUCUGCUCUCCUCUCUUCUUUUCCCCUUUCCUCUCCUCUCCCUUUCCUCAGGUCACAGCGGAGUGAAUCAGCUCGGUGGUGUCUUUGUCAACGGGCGGCCACUGCCGGACUCCACCCGGCAGAAGAUUGUAGAGCUAGCUCACAGC
rnacentral:sRNA from 1 species